rnacentral:ribozyme from 1 species
UUAUACCCUAACGUAGCCCACCGGAUAUCAGCCGAAGCUCCUCAGAGGAAUAAUAUAGGCUCUUUUAUCCAACUCCACGACACGUUCCGGACACGUCCCAGCUCUUGCAUGAGUGGGAACACCGGUUAUCACAUAUCCAAGCUUAGGUACACGGACCUAUUCCAUCCUCUCGAGCGGAUGGUGACACAUGGCGAAUGGG